AAGUACUUAUGAAGAAAAAGUACUGCACCACCUAAGCUAUUAAUAUAAAAGUACUAGCAAGUAUCAUUUUCUACACUCUUCCAAAUUUAAACGAAGUGCUCUGUAUAACUUUCUCUAUCUUUCAAGUUUGAUGAAGCACUACAAAUAUUUUUAUCCAUUUUUCUAUAUCCAACGAAGUGCAGCAACAAUUAUAGGGGGUUUCCUUUUUACAAAAAUACUUCAAGUUCUUUAAAAGCAAGUUUGGGAUUACUUUGUGUUGAAGUUGAAGCUUUUCUUCUUGGUGAAGUAUCCUAAGAUUAAGGUUGUUCUUGUGUGAUCGAGACUUACAAGCUCGGACACAUAAGCGUAGCUAAUAGGACGUGGAACAGGUAUGUUAAGGCUCGUCCCUUUUCUUUCAAAGGCAUGAUCCCGAUAUUGCGAAUUUAAAAUUGUCUCCAUAGCUUACUUGUUUUUAAAAGUUAGAUGUCUAUGAUUCUAAGGUAUGAUUACUUUCCCGAUAACCCGUCAACGUUUUUCAAAAUGUUCGUAUUUUUCCAAAACAAAGGUUUAUGGUAUUGUAAGCUUUUAUGACAAAAAUGAUGGAUAUGUAUUACAAUGACAACGCUGACGUCAAAUAUGAGAAAAUUUCUAUGAUAGAUAUGUUGACGAUAUGUUCCUACCAUGAAUAUGACAAUAUGAAAAUGUUAAGUUAUUUCUUGAUUCCUCAACUCUAUUAUGGAUAUUCACUAUUUUAAAGGCUCCAAGUAUAUGAAACGAUGUCUUAUGAUCCCGUUCUAUGCUUUUAUUAUGAUGACACUCUCCAUUGAUAGUCUCGCUUUAUAUUAAUUGUCCCUUCAAGGUGAGACACGACGCCCACGGCUAUUCCAUAAUAUAAUCGGAGGUUACCGACCUUACGUCACUCCGAUAGAUACAUGACCUUCUUCGGGCUCUCAUGUAUGUUGCUUAUAUGAUAUACGUAUAUGACACAUGGACAUGAUAUAUGUAUAUGUAUAUGGGAAAAAGGGCCAGAGCGUUAUAGACGCUGAUAUAUGUACAUGAUACACGUAUAUGUAUAUGGGAAAAAGGGGCCAGAGCGCUAUAGACGCUAUCCACCUGAUCAGUUGGCACUGUAUGACAUGAUAUCGUCCCGGACGCGGGAUAUAUGGGCGAGCCGACGUAUUUCGGCGCUAUGAGAUGAUAUGAUAUGAAAUGAUAUGAUAUGACCAGAUAAGUAUGCAUGGCAUCCGCCUAAGCGGCACUCAUAUGUACAGGUACACCCAGAUGAGUUGAAGCUAAUAUAGAAGAUAUUCCAGCAGAGUUGGCAAGCUCCACUUAUUCCUGGAGUGCUACCGAGUCAGAGUACAUGUGCUACGAUGUCUGAUAAAUGUUAGAGACUUUGCAGACAGAGUCGUGGGUAUAGGAUGUCGGUAUUGUGAACGGAUCCACUAGCCUAUGUGUCAUUUUAUGUUAUGUUAUAAAGUUCAUAUGAUCACAGAUUAUAUUGAUUGAGUACAAUGAAAAAAAAAAUUUGAAAGCUUUACUAUGCUUUCCACUCCUUAUUAAUGCAAGAGUCUAAGGAAAUUAAGUACGUAAUAAGAGUCAGCGGGUUCGCUCGGCUCCGAGUAUGGGGUCGGGUGCCCAUCACACCCUAGUAAAGUCGGGGUGUGACAAAGUGGUAUCAGAGCCGGUCGG